AUUGAACGCUGGCGGAAUGCUUUACACAUGCAAGUCGAACGGCAGCACGGGGCAACCUGGUGGCGAGUGGCGAACGGGUGAGUAAUACAUCGGAACGUGCCCAGUCGUGGGGGAUAACGUAGCGAAAGUUACGCUAAUACCGCAUACGAUCUAAGGAUGAAAGCGGGGGAUCGCAAGACCUCGCGCGAUUGGAGCGGCCGAUGUCAGAUUAGGUAGUUGGUGGGGUAAAGGCCCACCAAGCCGACGAUCUGUAGCUGGUCUGAGAGGACGACCAGCCACACUGGGACUGAGACACGGCCCAGACUCCUACGGGAGGCAGCAGUGGGGAAUUUUGGACAAUGGGCGCAAGCCUGAUCCAGCCAUUCCGCGUGCAGGAUGAAGGCCUUCGGGUUGUAAACUGCUUUUGUACGGAGCGAAAAGGCUCUCUCUAAUACAGGGGGCUCAUGACGGUACCGUAAGAGUAAGCACCGGCUAACUACGUGCCAGCCGCCGCAGUAACAC
rnacentral:rRNA from 1 species